rnacentral:lncRNA from 1 species
CUGAACAACUAAAAAGGUCAGUAACUGCCGUAACCCAUUUUAAGUUAGAAUUACUGCAAAAGAAAUCCAGGGAAAUGUCAAACAACCUUCAAAAUUAUUUUCUAUAAGAGAACAUUUAAUGAAUCUUCCUUCUUAAUUUGCAGUCAGAAACUUUUACAAUAAGCACAAUUUAUGCAGUGUGAUAAUGAACCAACAGUGCAGAGAAAUAAGGAAAUCAAUUACACAAGAGAUACGGAGAUAAAGGUGAACAUUUGUCAAAGUAAAGGGAAGAACAGCUGACCCCACUACUCGUCGUAUUUGGUUUGGUAUUGCUACCGCGCAUGACUUCGAGAGUCAUGAUGACGGAGGAACGUCUUUAUCAGAAUCUUUUUGCUUCUCACUUCGGGCAAUUAGCAAUAAUUUUUCUGUGGACUUCCGGAAAUCUGUUUCAUGUAAGUUGGCAAGGAAAUUUUGAAACAUGGGUACAGGACCCUUUGCGUAACAAAUUCUGGAUCAUCUCUAGGGUAUAAAAUGAUCAAGAAUACAACUGUCCAUUCAUAUUUAGAGGUACUUAUUCAGUGAACAAUCCAAUACUUAGCUGUAACAGAAAACAAUGUUACCAGAGCGGGAAAGGAAACAAGAAAGAAGCUGGUGAUUUAAGAGUUGCUGAAACAGCCAUCUCAAAGAUAUCUGGUUAAAAGAACCUUUAGGCCACAUAACGAGCUUUACCUAUUUCUCUCAUUCUCUCUUGCCUUCUGUUAAUAUAUUAGACUUAGUUGUUUAUUAGUAACCAGUAGCAUGAACAUCUACUUGUUUACAGGCCAAAAUCACAAGAAAAUAGAGAAUCCUGGUUCUCUAAGCCAAUGCAGUAGUGAUCCAGCAAAGUCAUGAAGGUACCGAAGAAUAUCCAAACAAAUUGGAAUACCAACAAAAACUUAUAAAAAUCGCACUUAAGACAUUCUAACCUUAUAGUUUAACAAGUACGUCAUUGUCUAUUAUCUUACAAACGGGCAAGCGUACUUCAAAAGGGAUCAAUACAACAGCAUUACAGCUCAUAUUAAAAAGAACAGGUCGUUUUAGUCAACAGUACCCAUGAGAUUGUAAAACUCAUUGAUCAGUGUUGAUUUGUGAUAGAGCAGUUAAUUUUCCUGAUUUCCCUGAUUAAUUCACAAUGAUAUGGAAACUCAAUCAUACUGUCCAAUUGCAUGGUGAUGUGCCAGUCCACUUAAUUUUCAAUACCCAGCAAAAACAUGAGAAGGAAAACCACCAGAAACAGUAACUUUCAAGGAAGCCGGGCCACAUAGCUAGGUUUUUAUAGUGUAAGCAGUUUCAGGAAAUACCUGAAUUUAUAUGCUAAUGGGUUAUUUGCAGCUGCUGGGGAUGGGAGUCCUCCACAAUAAGAAGUGAAGGACUUUAUUCUCCCUUUCCGAACUCGUACAUUGUUGAUCAUCUUCAUUGCCAUCAUAUGAUCUGAAAACAAUGUGUAAUUACAGAUCAAAACAAAAGCAGGUAACAGGAAACCAUGUGUACAUUUUGGUUUUCAAAAAUCUGCCGGGUUGUUAUUUUUAGAUAUUAAUAACCACAGAUACAAAGAACAAAUGAAAGCUUAAAGGAAAAAAAUGGCUUCAGUUUGAUGAAAAAAUAAUUAAAACUUAUAUGAGAAAUCUGAAUCCAAGACUAUAAAUCUUCAUGGCUGAAGUUGGAAAUGGGUUCAAGUCAUUAAGUUGCAUGAAAUGAUAGUAAAAUAUGAUGAAAAAAUAUGGACAGAAUGAUGCUCAAAAUUUCAGGAAGGUCCUUUUGAAGUCAACAAAUGCAUCUAUACUGGAUACCUCCUGAUUAUGACUCUACAUGAAAUUAAUAAUUUUAUCAUGCUAAGGAUAUUGUAGACUGGACUGGUAAUAAGUAUGUCAAGCCUUUGGAUCUCAAAACAUAAAACUUCGAUGUUUGGUCUUAUAGCAAAAUCUAGAAUGAAAACUGACCUAGGUACUUGCAUAUAAAUGACACCAUGUGUUCAUGUAUUUUUAAAGGAAGUUGUUCUUUUGUGAAUGCACUAGUCUAGGUGUGGAUGGCCUACUUAAGAACUAAACAGAGGGACUUAGGCCCCCUCAACCAAAAAAGAAAAAGAAAAGCACAUCAUGGAAGCAUACAUUAACAGUGUAAUUAUACAUAAUUUUCUUUAUAAUGGAAAUUACCAAUUCCUGGAUCCAAACCCAUCUCGCCAAGAAUAGUAAUAUCAGCAGCUUUUGCUUCUUCAUGUAGAAAUGACAUAGAAUCAUCAACGUAGCUUGCUGUGACAAGAUGCUUUUUAAGCUGAAUCAAGAGACAAAUCAUGUCCUUAGCUAGAAGAAAGAAAUAAUGUAAAGCAUAUGCAAUAUUUCUAACAUAUCCAAUAAAUGACAUUGAACUUCAAGAAUUUGUGGAGACAACAAAAACAACUUGUAUGAUGAACCUCAUUUUAGUAUCAGGCUUAAUUUUCCAUCAAAAUCAAAGUGAACGGACUACGAUGCAUAAUGAAUAUCAAUAUAGAGUAAAAUACCUUGAUGCAUGCAUUAGCUAUGAUUAUGUGGCAACUAGGGGGAAGUAAGCUGACAACAACCUCAACCUGCACAAGGGCAAGAAAAACAUUGGCAAUAUAUAAAACCAUGAUCCAGCACUUAUCUUAUCUUAUCUUGGGAAAAAAAACAUGUUAUGGUGAAGUUGCAGUGAUUUGUACCUUAUUGCAGCCAGUUAACAACCUCUGCCUUAUUCUCCAGUUGGUAAAGUAUCAUUCAUUAUAGGUGCAUGAUAUUUUUUCUUAGGUUGUGAAGCCAACACUCAUCUAAGUGUCAUUAAAUUGAUAAUGAUAGAAUUUAUCAUCACAAAAUUGUUUCUCAAGAACUAGUGCAGCCAAUUUCUGAUGAAUAUAUGAUAUAUAUCUCUUUGAAUCAUAUUGCAUAGAAAGAAGACUUUACCGGUGAAAUAUACUUGCAAAGACUUUCAUCAUCCAUCACAUCAAGCUGAACUGCCGAUGCAUUAGGAAUUCCAUCUAUAAUCUGCACCAGACCAAUUAAUAUUAUGUCAGAACUUUCUAAUGAAAAGAAUAGCAAGCACACCAAGUUAAAGCUUUUGAAUGCAAAAGAAUAAUAAGCACACCAAUUUAUAUCUGAAUAAGUACAACAUUGAUAUGGAUGCACAAUAUAACCAUCAUUAUUAUGGUUACUACUAACUCACAUCCUUGAGAAUUAAAAUUUUGUCAUUAUAACAUAAGUUGAAACCUUGCUGUUCUCACCAGAAAUUGAUAAGGUAAAGUUUAGAGGUUUUUUUCUCAAUUAUACCUCUUCUGCAUCCUUAAGAUAAAGAGAAGCAACGACAACUUCGACUACAUUCUGCCCUUCAAAAUCAGUAUUCAGACAUGCCUUGUACCAUUCACGAGAUGAAGUGUUUUCAUUUGAUGUUAAAAGCUCAACAGCUGGUCGACAGACGCGGCCUGCACCAAUAAUUAGAACAGCGGCCUUCCUUUUUGUAUCAUUUCCCUUAUUCAUGUCAUUCUGAUGGACUUUACCAACCUUCAAGGAAAUUCUAUUUCCUUCUUUAUUUAAAGUUCCAUUACUUUCAUCUGGAUUGGCAAGAGAAGUUAAAGAAUCAACAAUUUGAUUCAGAACUGCCCUAUCAUGUGCACCAACCUGUCCAAAGCAAUAGGAAAACCUGUCAUGAGUUUUGAAGAAAUCCCAUGUUGGCAAUAUGCAAUGUUUUUUGCUUAUGGUUAUUAGGUUCAAUAAAGUUUCCACUUCAAUCUUUAAUUAUAUGAGCAUAUAAAAAUAAUCGCUAAUUUUCUGAGCAUAUCAACAAACAACUAGAACAUCAAAAGGCAGCUAUCUGUCAAAAUUAUUCAUGACAAAUAAACACAGCUUUGACAGAGGUAUUUGCACGAUCACAGCUGAUUUGUUUCGUGUAAGAAAUCAAAUAUAAUUCAAAGAUAACUUAGAGAUUAAAAUAAAAAAGAACUGAAAAACAAACGCCAACAACUUAAAUUUUAUCCAAACGUGGGAAGAAAUUUCUCUUGCAUAAACAGGAUCAAACUGAAAUAAGGUCUACUUACUUCGAGAUCAGAGUAUGACAUAGCAGUAGCACUUUGACCCACUUGACACUUAACCAGGUGGAAGGAGCCACCAGCAGCUUCGAUGAUAUCUAAUGCCUCAUUUAUUAGGAAUUGAUCAAAUAAGUGUCCACUCAGAGAUACCUGUCAAUUAUAAUCAUAAGAGCAGCCGAUCAUGCAUGAGAUGCUGUAAGGAAUCCUAGGAUUAAAAUGAGUGGCCAAUAUAAUUUCGUGUGGCUUUGAAACGAGUAUAUCGCAAUCAAUUAUCUUUUAUCUUUCCAACUACAUCAGCUAAUCUCUUUAUUGAGCAAAAUGAGGCAAUUAUCUUUUAUCUUUUAUCAAUUAUCUUUUAUCUUUCCAACUACAUCAGGAUUAAAAUGAGGCAUCACAUCACCAAGAGUAAAACCUCGCUUAAGAUGGUCUCUAUUGGACUUUUGAACAAGUAUAUUUUACAAGAAAAAAAAAAUUUUUGUUUUGUUUUUUUAAUUAAAAUAAAAUAUUUUAAUUUUGAAGUAUUUCGGCGUGCUGUUUUGAAGUUGUACUGUUUAUAUAUAUAUAUAUUCAAGAUAAAUUAAUUAUAAAUUGUGCAAUACAAACACAAUGCCAAACAAAUAUAAUUUUAAAAAUUAAAAUAUUUUUAAAUGAUCAAGAUUAAAUAGAUCUUUAACUUAAAGUAAUUCAACUUAAACAAAAUAUCAAAAUAAAAUGUUUUAAUAUAAAUAUUUUAAAUAUAAAGUUAGGUCAAUGUUAUCAAGGCUAAUGGAAUCUAAAACAUCCAUUGUUUUGCUCAAAUUCCUACAAAGUAUAAAUAUGAAAAAAAAACAUGAAUAUAAACUAUAUAUAUUAGUGAUAAAUUUAAUUUUAAAAAAUUAAUAUCAUUGUUAAUGAAAAUAGUAAUAAUAAUUUUCAAUAUUAUUAUUAAUAUCAUUGUUAUUGAAAAUAGUAAUGAAAAAGAGUUUUUUAUACUUGGAUGGUUUAAUUAAUUAAAUUGAACAAUGUUCUAUUUGAUUCAAUGAGUUUUCAAGAGCGGAACGGAACAUGUGGAAUGAAAUCGGAACAUUCCGGCUGGAAUUUAGCUGAAAAAUUCGGAACGGACCGAGAUUUAAAAUGAGAUGAAAAUUAUUCCAUUUUGUUUCGUUUUUGAAUUGACAUAGAAUAUUUCAGCCAUUCUGGAAAAAACAGAAUGUAAUUCAUAACCUUGAUUAGAAUAGAAUACAAGAAAGUCCAUGUCCCGCGUGGGUCCAUGAUUUGAUUACUCACUAUUUUGUGUUAAUCUAUUUCUUGUUCCUUUUCUCUUGGGAAAUAGCAUUACUCAAGUUUCUCUAUUAUGCCAGCACCCUUGGGAACAAUGUUUAGAAGUGUCUACCCAUUUCUUUUGGCUAUAACCAGAACAUGUUGAGAGAGCAGUUCUUUAGUUCCACGAGUUUUGAAAGAAAGUUGGUAAACGGGUGUGAUCAGAUUUUGAUUACUAUAAUAAGAGAAGCCUUUGCAUUUUUGUGCUUCCAUCGUUUGAUAUGAUGAAAACAUUUGCUCCAUAUUUGCUGAUGGAGCUAGGUUUUAAACGAUGUAACGUUAACUUGAAUCUUUGGCUCCUCUACUUUGUUUUCUCGAAGAAAUUUGUAAUCAUUCUCAUUUUCCAGCAUAACUUAUGAAAACAAAUAGCACGAUCUACAAAUUAUAUUUAAUCUGGAAUACAAACGCGCAAGCAAAACUGAAUAACUUACCAAAAUACUGAACUUAUUCUUGCUAGACUUUAAAUUUGUAGGACUUUCUGCUAUAUCUCUGCACAUCAUGAAAAAGCGUUCAUGUUAUCACUAACAGAAGACAGCAUAUACAUAAAAUAGAUGCAAUAGCUUUCACAGAUCUCUUGGAUCAUUUGAAUGCAUUACAAAUUCCAAUGACUUGAUACUAUAGCCAGAGGUUUGCAGAAACCUUGUUGCUGGUCAGUUUUAUUUCAUUGCCAGGUAAAAGCAGAACUAGUCCUCUAAAACUUAAUAUUACCCCCGCCUUCUUCCCUUCUUCGACUAUAUAAGUUUCAAAGGACGAAGGUGGUUUUCAAACUGUGAGGUUUGAUCUGUAAAUCUAUGUGGUGACAUCCAAAACUGGUAGGCAGUAAUUCACCGCACAAAUAAAUAAUGUCAACGAGAAGGAAAGAAAAAAUAUUAUGAAAUGGAAUAAAAAAGCUUACUCUGAAUCAGACUUUCGCAUGCGUGAAAUGUAUUCAAACAAGGGGGCAAGUGCUCCUCCAUGGGCUAUGCAAGCAUUCCUUAGAUGUGAAGGUAGCUUAGUAAUGUCAGUUGUUGAAGCCAAACGGCCAAUAAAUUGGGAUAGUAUGUCUCCAAAAUGUUGGGAAGCCUUUCCAUGAUUUAUUGGUUUGGUACAUGUUACCAUGAACAUUGAUUAGAUAAUGCACGAGCACCCUAGACCUAUUGCUCAGAGAAGGAACAAUUACAAGCUUGAAGGUUAAGGAUCGGAAUAACAAACCUCUUUUGCAAACUGUGUAGGAAGAAUGUCAACGGAUAAAAAUAUCACACCAUCACCCUCCAUGUCAUAGUGAUACGAAUCAUUUAAUGGAUCAUAUCUGACAACCAUGAUAACCAAUCAACACAGGAACAGUAUGAUAGCAAUUGAAGGUUAUUGUUGGCCAGGAUGCAUGUUAGAGCCUCAGCUGGUGAAGGUGUGAAGCAAACUACAAAUACUAGAAAACCAAAAUCCAAGCACUCUAAGUGGAAUCAGCAGAGACAAGCCACACUCUUUCUCUUUAGGGAGACAGUUGAAAGAAAAGUUUCAUUUUGAGUUUCUGUUAAUCAUUUGUGACAAUUUCCUUCUUAGGUUCCAUCAUCCUUUGGGGUUGCACAUCUUCCAAGAGCAAUUUUUAAGGGGUGUAAAAGUUGGUUUUUAAAGAUGUUCGGUGUAUUCAUAAAUUGAAGGGUUAAAUGUUAUUAGAAAGAGAGAAAAUAAUUAAAUGAAUUAAUUUAUGCACCAUCUCUUAAUUUCCCCCAAAUGGGAUGUUAGAUUGAUGUUAUUUAAGAUCUUAGUUAAAGCUACGCAAGCAAACAAGCGUAGUAAAACACCUAAACGACUCCCUGCACGAUCAUCACCAUCUCCAAUUUCAGUCAAACUAAACAAGGAAAAAAUCAAUGAAGCAGGGGACAAGAAAAGAGUUGGCAUACAAUGUAUUUCAUGAAAUACAAGAAGCUAAAACGUAAUACCUCACGAAUGGUGAGUCAAUUGAUGUGGUUUGGUUAAUGAACUCUAAUGAGCCCUCAAUAUCACAAGUUAUGUCAGCAAUUCCAAUAAGCGGACAACCUCUCCUCGUUAGAUCUUGAAGCUGCUGGGUACUCAACAACCGAGGAAAUCUUUUUUCCCAGUACAUGCAAUUGACUGCAGUACAGUAAAGUUAAACAGUUACUAAUAGCACACAAUGAUUCUAUAACUAAAAGGAGAGAGAAACACAUUAAUAUACUAGAAGUUUGGCCAUUUAAUUAGAAACUUUUUAUCUAUUCAUCUACCAAGAAAAAAGGAUUUCUAUAACUAAAAGGACAGAGAAACACAUUUUGACCCGAAUUUGGGUAGUUUGUAAGCAUAAAUCAGGAGCUUGAGUAUAAGCAUAAAUCAGGAGCUUGGGCUCAAAAAUUAUUUUUGAGAUAAUCUAAUAAGGCUUGACAAUUUGGAGGUCAACAAGGAAACUCCAUCAGCAAGAGCUCGCUUGUAAUAGCAGAAACUUUACUGUGUGAACUCAGUAAUGACAAUAUCUUACGGAAAAAUAAAUAUUAUACCAAUAACAGAUGCAUAUGGGGCUAUUUUUUCAUGGAAAAUGGGCUUGUAGUGCUCUGGAUGUGCAUAAUAGUCUGUCUGCACCGAAAACAAAACAUCCAUGGUCAGAAUAGUUCAAAUUUAACACAUACAAUCCCAAUGAAUUCAAAGAAACCAAGUGUUCACUCUUAAUUGAAGAUAAAUGGCUUCCAAGGCUUUAAAGAAUUACUAAGCACAUUUGCAUCUCGAAAGUUAGGAAUCUAAUAACUGAUUAGCACUUUAGGUUAUUAAGCAAACUAUAAGUGAAAAUUGAUUGUCCUUGGUAUGCUAAGAGUUAAUUGAGCAGCUAAAAUCUAUCGAGGCUGACAGUAAGGCAGUUCACACAAAGAUGAGAUAUCAACUCUAUGAACGAUACACCACAAGACCUAGUAGAAAUGUAUCAUGCCCUCUGGCAAGGGAAAAGAUAGUUGAUCAGGUAUGACAGACAGCAAAACCAGAAAUAGAAAUACGGAGAAUCUUACUUUAUCAAAUGUUUUUGAAGAAUCUCGGUGUUCAACCAUGUCUUGACAAGUGACAACACAACCAUAUACUUGGAAAACUCUCUUCGAAGCCUUUUCAGGUGGAAUGACAUCCCUGCCCUAAGCAAAAACAAGAAGUUGACUUAGGUGAGCGCCAAAGAAAUGUUGCUGAGCAAAAUAGCAAAAGAGACAGUGAGAAAAUUGAAAUGAUGAAGAACAGGAGUACAUAGUAUCAUUUUUAAAGUAUAGUGGCAAUAAAUUAGAGCAAAAUGAUGACUGAAGACCCCUAUAGAACUUUCUGUGGUUUCUGGUCAGAUUUUUCUAUUCAUCUUAACCUGUUCUUUAAAAAAGGUAAUCAGGUGGUUUCUUCUGCCAAAAAAGUUGCUCGAAACUUACUUGUGCAAACAGCUCUGGAAGUCUGCUUGGAUCAACAAAAGUGUGUGGAAGAAGCUUAAAUAUCUCUUGUGCGCCAUGAGAAACUAUUAGGAAAAGGAAAAGACAAGAGAGACAUACUGCAUGAGAAAUAUAUGCCUUUAAACGUUUGCAGCAGAAAUCAUUGUGUUUGCGUGUAUGUGGAGCAAUUUAAAUGUAUAAACAUGAAAAUCAAAUUCCACUGCAACUAGUAAUUGAAUUAACAGCAGCACUUAAGAAACAUGUAAAAUACUUCAGAACAGAAUGAUAUAUCAUCAAGUGAUCUAAGAGUGCAGAGACUGAACUUAAAACCAUGAUCCACAUCUUUGAUAGCAACAAUAUUGAAUCUAUCAGCUAAGGACAUCAUGGAUGUUUGGGAAAUAGAAAAUAAAGUAGCUCUUUACGAUACCAUUUCCAUUUCCAGAUCCGGUGAAUAGGAAUACCAAAGGACAGAUUCCUGAUGGCAAUCCAAAAGUAGCGAUCUCUUCUCCGACAGAAAUAACAGCAGCUUUGGCAGCAGCCAAGGAUGAAUACAUGUAAGCUUCACCCAAUGAGAGGAACGGUGUUGAAUAUCCAAGACUUAGAUAACCUGAAGAAAAAUUGUAGUAAUAAAAACAAAAGGGUUAAAAUCAACUCCAGCUGGAAUAUUCCAAACAUAGGAGAACAGGAUCAUCAUUUCAGCAUCACUAAAUGAAAUAAGGCCCUAUAAACAUAAACAGCCUCCUCGUACCGGAAGUUAAAAAGAACAAGAAGAAAAGGUAAUUCCACAACCCUUUCCCUCAAAGGAGAAACAGGGAAGAAGUGUGCAGAAGUAAUUGUGAUUGUAUGCGAACAAGCUCUACAAAAACGAGACAUAAAAGUGCAUAACAACAGUUCAUCAAAUCAACAGUGUAAGAUCAGUAAAAAGGAUUCCAGAAGUGGAGCAUACGCUUUCCUAAUCCACCCAAGAAAUCAAUGAACCCGGCUCUGCCAGCAAAUUUCCCAAAUGCAAGUAACCUUUUACCAUGGUCCCCAACAAUGAGUUCAUAGUCAUACAAUGACACCCUCUGAGCUAGUACCUACAUGACAGAGAAAUCAGCAUGAGCAAAAUUAUCAUCAUCAAUUUAUCACAGCCAACAAGGACAUGAACACAAAGAAAUACCUUAUCCAACAAAGGCAUGUUUUCUUUCUGAGCCUUGUGAGUAUGAGAGAAGAAGGCAUAAGCUCUAUCAGGAAGAAUCAUAUCCAGCUGCACCAAAACCAAACAAAUCCAAUCAAACUUCCAAACAUAGUUACCCUUCAAAACCAGAGAACAUACGAUCUCAUCACCUUGGGCUGCUUAAUUCCCACGAUGAGACCACAUUCGGACAAAUCAUCCGAUAUCUCACAGCCAACAUCCUCAUACAUCGCAUCAAGAUGAAUACGCUUCGUCGACGGCUGCACAAUUAACCGAGCCACCCCAGUUUUAUCCUUCCCACUAUGCAAAAGUCGAGCACAAUGAGAGGGGGUUAGAGGCGCCCUUCUUUCCCACUUGUUCCCUGACUCCGAGAGGAUUCCAACAACUCCAUUACCAAGCAUGGUGUACGUACCUUCUUCCCUGUUCUUCCUGAAUAAAGCAAGCAUACACUGAGCAUUAUAAUUUAAGAUUACCUUGUUGCAAGAUGACGAAACAAACUGUUCCUUGGUAUGCUUGAUUUUGAAACUAUUUAUGCCAUUCCAAACAAGAUAACUUUCAAAAUAAAAUUAAAAAAAUAUUAAAGUAGAACAAAACCAGAUGCACUUGCAAACGCAAUCAAACAAAUUAUUUAAAAACAUAGCCUCCAAUUAUCGUCUCGAUAAAGAACAUAAUCGAUCAAUAAAUAAAUAUAUGACGAUGGACAUGCUUGAAAGUGAAAGAAUGAUUAUCCAGAUUUUUUUAUUUCUUCCUCAGAGGUGGAACAAAUAAUGCAUGCAUGGAUUACAUCAACAAAUAUAAAUUUUGAACAAUAUUCUUAUAUAUGUAAAAGAAUAGUCAUGGCAGGAUCACAGUAAUUGAAACUUUAAUGAUCAAAAACCCCACAGUGAUCUUCAUCAGCUUUAUUAUUUGUUUUUACGUUUUAAAAAUGAUUUUUAAAAAUUUUAAUUUUUAAUUUUUUUUUACUUUAAAUUAAUUUUUUAAUAUUUUCAGAUUAUUAUCAUAUUAUUAAUAAACUUUAAAAAAUAAUCAGAGAUCAAAUAUUAAAAAAUUAAUCGUGGUGCUGAUUCAUAAAAAGAAAAGAGAAGAGAUGAGAAAAGGCCACCUUUUAAUCACAAAAGUCUUAGUCCCUCCACAUUUAAAAGAGAUAAUCUCGGAUGCAAGUGCUAGAACAGUCAUAUCAGCACUUGAUAAUGUAUUAUAAUUAAAAUAAUAUUUUUUUAUUUUUUAAAUAUUUAAACAAACCGCCUCUUACAACUUUUUCUUAAUUUUUUUUGUUACGGAUUUUGAACUAAAGUACAAACAUUUGAGUAAAAAACACUUUCGCUGUUUCAGAGGAAGAUGCGUUACGAGGUUUCAGUUUAUUUGUUUGUUUUUUCUUGAGCAAAGACUUGUGUGUGACUAGACGAUUAUUCUUAAUAUCUUAUGAUAUGGAUAUGGCUGACGUAAUUAGCAAGAAAGUUGUGGGUACACACAUUUCCUAUAAUGUUGUGCCACGUUUGUUCCAUUUGUGAGUUAUCUACCCACGUCCACCCGCACUUCUUUCGAGUUCGUGGUUACUUCUUAUUUUAGAAUAGACCAUAAAAAUAAAGUAUUUGGUUAUAUUUUAAAUGUAAAUUAUUGUUUAUGAACCCGUUAACAUUUUCGUUGAAACCACAGGAUAAAAAAGGGUAGCUUUUAGUUAUUUUUUUGAGACGUAUUUCACAAGGUGAAUAGUAUAAAGUGAAUUAAUUCACUCUUCACUGUUUACUCUGCACAGUGAAUAGUGAAUUAUUUCGUUGUCCACAAUUCACUGUUGACGUGAACAGUGAAGAAUGAAUUAAUUCAUUCUCUACUAUUCACGUUAAUAAUGAAGAGUGUUUUUAUUGUUCAUGGUCAGACCGGAUCCAACCCAAAUCUAAGUGCAAAUUUUAUAAUGAAGUAAGGUGCAAGCAGCGAUUUUUCAUGUGGGAGAUUCAGUGAGGUGAAAAACAAACUCUUAAUUAGAUGUUCUUGUACUCGCCAUCAUGUUUUCAUAUGGCUAUGUCAUCCAAAUUUAGAUGCUACAUGGAUUUCAGAGGCUGACUUUCUUGCAUUGGAUCUCGAGCUUCGGGAUGCUUAUCCCCAGACAAACUCUCCAUCCUCAAGUUCUUUCUAACCCGGGAAGAAUGAUGCGGGUCCGCAUAAUAGAUUUUGUAGGGAUAUUUAUUUUAGAAAGAAACUAGAUUAGUUACAUGGGCGGAUCAAAAACAUUUAACUCAAAAAUAAUAAUUUAAGAGAUGAUUAUGUUUUUUUAAAAAGUAAAAAAUAAUUGAUAAUCCGUUAAAUUUUAAUUAAUUUAAUAAUAUGAUAAAAAAAAUAAGGUGACAGCAAAAUAAAGAGCCAAAAAAAUAGAAAAUAAAAAUAAAUUUUUAAGACAAAUUUCAAAGCCCCUAUUUAUUUCACUUGUUUUUUUUUUAAGUCCUUUAUUUUUCAAUUUAAUUAUCUCUAAACAAAAUUAUACAAUUGAGUGUUGAUUUGAAUUUAAAAAAACUUAAUCGUGCAAAAUAAAAGUUAAAGAAUCAAUUAAAAAAAUAAAUAAAUCAAUGCUCCAAUCCACCAUAUAUGUGAGAUAGUGAGUAAUAAUCACAUGUUAAUAUAGUGUUUAAUUAUAGUUUUUGAGUCUCUCUCUCUUGGUCCCUUAAAGAUUGAUUGAGUGUGCUCCCAUGAUUUGGCGAUCUUGUUCGUGCAUGCAGCAUAUCAGCUCUUUCUUGAGACAAAGCAUUAGCACAUGAAUGGAAGGCUCUUUUCCAUGUUUCUUAAUUUAUUACUUGCAACUAAUUUUUCUCAGAUGAGUCUGAAGAUGAGAGUGAUAUUAUGGAAGCUUCUGAGGAUAAUGUGGACGGGGAGGACACUUUCAUGAACACUUAUUCUGAUGCUCUGAAUGAGGAACUGAAGAACACCACCCUUAAGAAAAGUUUGUUCAUAAUGUAAAAAUUAAGGAAUUAAGAAAUUUUUUUGGAAAUACAAGAUUUCUUCAAGUAAUCUCAAGUCUUAUUCAUCUAUGGUUGGAUAAAAUCUAAAACGAUCCAUAAAAAUUCUUUGACAAGACCUUAGAGAUAAAUGUUGCUUGAUUUCACAAAUAAACCAUCCAGUUUCAUAACAUCAUAGGCAUAUCAUGAUCAGUUUAACCUUUCAAUUAUAUGUCAACAUCUGUACAGGGAAAUGAAACCAGAGAUGUACCGAACAGUCUCGGGUCACUCAACCUUCUCCAUCACCUUGAUGCCAUACGCUUGUAAGAUGUCCAGUGCUGCAAGACCACCAAACAUAUCAUCAUUCAAAAACAUAUUUCAAUGUCAUGUCUUCUCAGCAGCACCAUAACCGGAGAGGAGUGGAUUUUCAUUUACCUGGUACAUAUACUUCAGGUUCAAAAGGUCUCAAGACACCUCUUGUAUUGAUCUUGUUCUCUAGCAAGAGCUGUGGAAAUUGAAAUCAACGUCUUGGUUAGAGCAUUCCCUGAAAACUGAUGAAAAUAAAAAUAACAGUGCUGGAGAAUUGAAGCAAACAAAUACCAGAGCUCCAAUGGCCACUGGAAUACCAACAGUGAGAGCCAUGGCAGUGGUUGUUUUCCCAUUCCCGGUCCUUCCAAAUUCUAGUAGUGUGCCCUUAUGGUUCUCUGUAGCUUGGCUGUCAGGGAAUUCUACCUCCAUUUCAUGAUGCAAAAGCACCAUAUCCUGACCAUAAAUUUCACAAGUGGGAAUUAUUAGUUUCUGCCAAGAACAAGGAAUCAUUAAAAAAAAAAAAAACUGAAUUAUAUGACACUACGUAUAUUAUUUUACUGCAAGGUGCAUACCUGUUCUGUGCUGGAAUAGGCCAACCUUUCUUCCAUGCGGUAACAGGUAACAUCAAAUGCACUUUGGCAGGAGACAGGAAUUUCUGUCUGCUCAUGAAGUCCUAAAUAUCUAGUCCACACGGUAGAACAAUACUUGAUAUGAGUAUGUCACAGCAUGCAAAGCAGUUGAUAAUAAAUAAAAUUACUACUGAUUGGAAUAGGUUUAUGCAAUUGCAGCUAUUCCACCAUUUACUAUGCAUCUCAGCCCGAAGUUAUGCAUUGUUAGUUUCUCCAGCAGAAUGUGAUAGCUUACAUAAUGGUUCUGGCCGUCCUUACUGCUGUUCCUUGCUCUUUGCAAUGCCCAAGUGCAACAAUUCUCUCACUAAUGUGCUUCUCUCCUAGCGGAACUCCAUCCGGAAUUUCACUAACAAUGUUUAGCAGUUCACAAAGGAAUCUUUUGAAUGAGGGUCUCUGUCCAUGUCUUAAAACUAGAUGAGAUUCAGUAUUAAAUAGACCAAUACUUGCAAGUGUCCCCAUUAUUUCGCCAAACCCUACACAAAUAAUCAGAAAAUAAGUUCUAGAGGGACAUACAAAGUUCCUUGCCCCCCUUUUUUUGAGGACACAAAGCAGAACAGGAAGCCAAGACAAUGGGGUGAACUAGGAGAAGAAAACCACUUCCAUUUUCAGCUAUGACAAAAAAAAGUAUGUUGGAUUUAGUUCCUCGGUUAACAAAGUCCUAGUGCUCAAUCUACUGAAAAAUAAUUUUUGCAAUUAUAUUUUCUUAGAGAUCAGCUUAAAUAAUACAUAUUCGAAGGGGCCAAAGACAUGUUAUACCUUCAUAGCGGAGCGUUCCACGAAAGAUGGUGGAUGCUUCAUCUUCUAUGCCAUACAGUUUUCCAUAAACUAAAGAAUUGCGAUUUGGAAGACAUUCUAAUGCAAAAGCUGGAAAAUUCGGUAUCCGAUAUCUGAAUGCUGAAUCAUAAAGUUUCUCACCUGUAAGUUCAAACAAUAAAGUGAAAAACAAAUCAGAAAAGAAAAAACCUUGAGAGAUUAACAUUGAUUCUUUUGAGUGAUCAUAUAGCCUUCCAUUCGUGUUUGAAAGUGUGGUUGUGGUUGCUUUUGAAAGUGUUUUUCCCUCUGAAAUGUAUUAAAAUAAUGUUUUUUUUUUAAAAAAAAAAAUGAUUUUUUCUAAAUGUUCUUUUGAGUGAUCAUAUAGCCUUCCAAUAAUGUUUUUUUAAAAAACAAAAUAGUGUUUUUCAUACAUUUAUGUAUGAAAUAAAAUAAAAUUAUGAAUAUGUGAUUGUCAUGUAAAUAAAUUAGAUACAUUUUGGUGAUAAAGGUCAAGUAUGAUUUUUUCUUGCAGACAUGAGAAAUAUUCCAUUUCUGGUCUAUAAUAAGAAACAAAAAAGAUACAUAUCCUACUACUUGGAUUUAUAAAUUUUCCUUAUUCCAGGCCACUUACCAUCAACAUGCACAAUUUCACCAUGAUUUUUAUAUGUGGCCGGAUUGCGCCCAGAUCGGAUGGCUCCUGCAGGGCUCCAGCUGAACAACUAAAAAGGUCAGUAACUGCCGUAACCCAUUUUAAGUUAGAAUUACUGCAAAAGAAAUCUUCCUUCAAAAUUAUUUUCUAUAAGAGAACAUUUAAUGAAUCUUCCUUCUUAAUUUGCAGUCAGAAACUUUUACAAUAAGCACAAUUUAUGCAGUGUGAUAAUGAACCAACAGUGCAGAGAAAUAAGGAAAUCAAUUACACAAGAGAUAAGGAGAUAAAGGUGAACAUUUGUCAAAGUAAAGGGAAGAACAGCUGAACAAAUUCUGGAUCGUCUCUAGGGUAUAAAAUGAUCAAGAAUACAACUGUCCAUUCAUAUUUAGAGGUACUUAUUCAGUGAACAAUCCAAUACUUAGCUGUAACAGAAAACAAUGUUACCAGAGUGGGAAAGGAAACAAGAAAGAAGUUGGUGAUUUAAGAGUUGCUGAAACAGCCAUCUCAAAGAUAUCGAGUUAAAAGAACCUUUAGGCCA